GAUGAACGCUGGCGGCGUGCCUAAUACAUGCAAGUCGAGCGAACAGACGAGGCGCUUGCUCCUCUGACGUUAGCGGCGGACGGGUGAGUAACACGUGGAUAACCUACCUAUAAGACUGGGAUAACUUCGAGAAACCGGAGCUUAUACCGGAUAAUAUAUUGAACCGCAUGGUUCAAUAGUGAACGACGGUUUUGCUGUAUCUUCUAGAUGGAUCCGCGCCGCAUUAGCUAGUUGGGAAGGUAACGGCUUACCAAGGCGACGAUGCGUAGCCGACCUGAAAGGGGGGUCGGCCACACUGGAACUUAGACACGGUCCAGACUCCUACGGGAGGCAGCAGUAGGGAAUCUGCCGCAAUGGGCGAAAGCCUGACGGAGCAACGCCGCGUGAGUGAUGAAGGUCUUCGGAUCGUAAAACUCUGUUAUUAGGGAAGAACAAAUGUGUAAGUAACUAUGCACGUCUUGACGGUACCUAAUCAGAAAGCCACGGCUAACUACGUG
rnacentral:rRNA from 1 species